AUACGAAGGGGGCUAGCGUUGUUCGGAAUUACUGGGCGUAAAGCGCGCGUAGGCGGAUUGGUCAGUUAGGGGUGAAAUCCCAGGGCUUAACCCUGGAACUGCCUCUAAUACUGCCAGUCUUGAGUUCGGGAGAGGUGAGUGGAAUUCCUGGUGUAGAGGUGAAAUUCGUAGAUAUUAGGAAGAACACCAGUGGCGAAGGCGGCUCACUGGCCCGAUACUGACGCUGAGGCGCGAAAGCGUGGGGAGCAAACAGGAUUAGAAACCCCAGUAGUCC
rnacentral:rRNA from 1 species